rnacentral:rRNA from 1 species
GACGAACGCUGGCGGCGUGCUUAACACAUGCAAGUCGAGCGGAAAGGCCACUUCGGUGGUACUCGAGCGGCGAACGGGUGAGUAACACGUGAGUAAUCUGCCCCUCACUUUGGGAUAGCCACCGGAAACGGUGAUUAAUACCGGAUAUGACCAUAUGUCGCAUGGCGUGUGGUGGAAAGUUUUUCGGUGAGGGAUGUGCUCGCGGCCUAUCAGCUUGAUGGUGAGGUAAUGGCUCACCAUGGCUUCGACGGGUAGCCGGCCUGAGAGGGUGACCGGUCACACUGGGACUGAGACACGGCCCAGACUCCUACGGGAGGCUGCAGUGGGGAAUAUUGGACAAUGGGCGGAAGCCUGAUCCAGCAACGCCGCGUGAGGGAUGACGGCCUUCGGGUUGUAAACCUCUUUCAGUACCGACGAAGCGCAAGUGACGGUAGGUACAGAAGAAGCACCGGCCAACUACGUG